rnacentral:rRNA from 1 species
GUAGUCUUCGUCCAGGGGGCCGCCUUCGCCACCGGUAUUCCUCCAGAUCUCUACGCAUUUCACCGCUACACCUGGAAUUCUACCCCCCUCUACGAGACUCAAGCUUGCCAGUAUCAGAUGCAGUUCCCAGGUUGAGCCCGGGGAUUUCACAUCUGACUUAACAAACCGCCUGCGUGCGCUUUACGCCCAGUAAUUCCGAUUAACGCUUGCACCCUCCGUAUUACCGCGGCUGCUGGCACGGAGUUAGCCGGUGCUUCUUCUGCGGGUAACGUCAAUGAGCAAAGGUAUUAACUUUACUCCCUUCCUCCCCGCUGAAAGUACUUUACAACCCGAAGGCCUUCUUCAUACACGCGGCAUGGCUGCAUCAGGCUUGCGCCCAUUGUGCAAUAUUCCCCACUGCUGCCUCCCGUAGGAGUCUGGACCGUGUCUCAGUUCCAGUGUGGCUGGUCAUCCUCUCAGACCAGCUAGGGAUCGUCGCCUNGGUGAGCCGUUACCCCACCAACNAGCUAAUCCCAUCUGGGCACAUCCGAUGGCAAGAGGCCCGAAGGUCCCCCUCUUUGGUCUUGCGACGUUAUGCGGUAUUAGCUACCGUUUCCAGUAGUUAUCCCCCUCCAUCAGGCAGUUUCCCAGACAUUACUCACCCGUCCGCCACUCGUCAGCGAAACAGCAAGCUG